rnacentral:rRNA from 1 species
AAAUUUGGCGGUAUUUUAGUCUUUUCAGAGGAACCUGUUUCGUAAUCGAUAUUCCACGUUGAACCUUACUUAUUUUAUUAAUUAAGUUUGUAUAUCAUUGUUAUAAAAAAUUUUUUGAAAAUAAUAAUUUUUAAUUUAUUUUAAUAAAUUAUAUAUCAAAUCAAGGUGCAGCUUAUAUUUAAGUGAUUAAUGGGUUACAAUAAAUUAAUUUAAGUGAAUUUAAAAAUGAAAAAUUUAAUGAAAAUGGAUUUGAAAGUAAAUUUAUAAAGAUUAAUAAUUUGAUUUUAGCUCUAAAAUAU